rnacentral:rRNA from 1 species
GACGAACGCUGGCGGCGUGCCUAAUACAUGCAAGUUGAGCGAUGAAGAUUGGUGCUUGCACCAAUUUGAAGAGCAGCGAACGGGUGAGUAACGCGUGGGGAAUCUGCCUUUGAGCGGGGGACAACAUUUGGAAACGAAUGCUAAUACCGCAUAAUAACUUUAAACAUAAGUUUUAAGUUUGAAAGAUGCAAUUGCAUCACUCAAAGAUGAUCCCGCGUUGUAUUAGCUAGUUGGUGAGGUAAAGGCUCACCAAGGCGAUGGUACAUAGCCGACCUGAGAGGGUGAUCGGCCACAUUGGGGCUGAGACACGGCCCAAACUCCUACGGGAGGCAGCAGUAGGGAAUCUUCGGCAAUGGACGAAAGUCUGACCGAGCAACGCCGCGUGAGUGAAGAAGGUUUUCGGAUCGUAAAACUCUGUUGGUAGAGAAGAACGUUGGUGAGAGUGGAAAGCUCAUCAAGUGACGGUAACUACCCAGAAAGGGACGGCUAACUACGUG